rnacentral:rRNA from 1 species
UACGGAGGGUGCAAGCGUUAAUCGGAAUUACUGGGCGUAAAGCGCGCGUAGGCGGCUGAGUAAGUCGAUUGUGAAAUCCCCGGGCUCAACCUGGGAAUUGCAUUCGAGACUGCAUGGCUUGGGUGCGGAAGAGGGAAGCGGAAUUUCCGGUGUAGCGGUGAAAUGCGUAGAUAUCGGAAGGAACACCAGUGGCGAAAGCGGCUUCCUGGUCCGACACCGACGUUCAGGCACGAAAGCGUGGGGAGCAAACAGG